GCGAAGACGGUUCACGCCCUAGGUAGCGCGGCCUCUGUGAUCGAUUAAGCAGCUACACGCCUAAUGGAAAUAUUAUCGUGUCAUUUUCCUUAACAUUAUAGCAACCUUUUAAACCACAUCGCUGUAUGCAACGACAGUUCCGGUUCACAAACUCUCUGAUACGGUAUCUCAAGAUAUGAAGUUCGUCAGGGGUGGGGGACAUUCAUGAUUACGUCAGCCGAAUGUUGCGAUAUUACUUUAGCGAUAGCUUCCUAUCAUGCCCUUCCCCAGUCUUAAAGUCACGGCUAUUAGGCCGUGACUGUGUCACGUAAAGCGCUUAUGGUUUGAAGAAGGAAAACAGGAGCUCGCAACGUCCAAGGAAGAUUUUCCAUUGCAGACAAUUCACGUUGGCGAACACUCUUGUGAAUACCGGACGUCAUGCCUAUCUCUCAAGUCACUGCAGCCUGAAUACACAAAACUUAUUGCACCCGUCCUACUGGAGCUCUGUAGUCAAGGGCUAGGUAAGCAUUUAACACGCAGGCUCAAAGUACUACACGAUUCUGUAACGAACAUAUCGAUAAGACAUGAGAUAUGUUUGUAUAAUCCUGGUUUGAAUUACGUACAAGCAUCAGACUUACGAGUAGCGGAUGCACUUUGCUUCAUAACUCAACUGACGGCCGGACUUAGCAUGCAUACGGCAACACAAGAGAUGAAAUUACGACGGAAACAAUAUAUUGGCGCUAACAGUGGAGGUGAGAAGCGGAAACAGGCCGCCUACAUGAUAUCCGGAGGCCAAACUGGGCAAGGGAUGAGUAAUUUAUCUACCACGAUUUAAUGAGCAUCACGAUGCGCUUAUGUUCCCAUAAUGUCGACACACACACACAUCCAACUACUUCGGACAUGAGCAAGAAAGAAAGAGAAAGUGUUAUCAGCAUUUUACGUGUAUGUCCGUCCGUUCACGAGUAAUCAUCUUUGUGUCUAUACGACCAUGUCCAUCUGUGCGUCAAAAUAAAGAACUAA